rnacentral:lncRNA from 1 species
CUUUAUUUCAACCCUGGUGAAUCUAACAAUUAUGUGUCUUGGGGUUGCUCUACUUGAGGAAUAUCUUUGUGUUGUUCUCUGUAUUACCUGGAAUUGAGUAUUGUCCUGCCUACUGGAUUAGGAAAGUUUUCCUGAAUAAUAUCCUGAGGAAUAUUUUCCAGCUUGGAUUCAUUCUCUUCAUGACAUUCAGGUACACCUAUCAAACGUAAAUUAGGUCUUUUCACAUAGUCCCAUAUUUCUUGGAGACUUUGCUCAUUCCUUUUUACUUUUUUUUCUAAUCUUGUUUUCUCAUUUCAUUUCAUUAAGUUGGUCUUCGACCUCUGAUAUCCUUUAUUCUGCUUGAUCAAUUUGAGUGUUAAAACCUGUGCAUACUUCGUAGCAUUCUCGUAUUGUGUUCUUUAGUUCCAUUAAUUCACUUAUAUUCCUCUCUAAAUUGUCUAUUCUCGUUAGGAUUUCGUCAAACCUUUUUUCAAGGUUCUUAGUUUCUUUACAUUGGGCUACAACAUGUUCUUUUAACUCACAGAAGUUUCUUACUAUCCACCUUCUGAAGCCUAAUUCUGUUAUUGGAACACACUCGUUCUCCAUCAGGCUUUGUUCCCUUGUUGAUGAGGAACUGUGAUCCCCUGUAGAGGGAGAGGCAUUCUGAUUUUGAGUAUUCUCAGCCUUUUUACGCUGUUUUUUCCCCCGUCAUUGUAAAUUUAUCCACCUGUCGCCUUUGUAAUUACCGACUUUCAAAUUAGGUCUCUGAGUGGACGUCCAACAGGUUGAUUCUCAGUGCCAGAAUCUGAGCAACCCACUGCAACGGCUAAAACAGCGGUAUUAAGAUUCAUGGUGCUUUUCUGCCUGGGAGUCUCCGGUCUGGCUUCCUUCCUGAAUCCCUUCUUCAAUCAGCUGAAUGGGUGACUCUACCUUCACGGAGCUCCAAUUGUCGACCAAAAGGGGACCCAGUCCCGUUUACUCUGCACCGAGAACCGCAGCACCGGCCACAAGAGUCGCACUGGUGACCCGUGGGGCUCCUCCGCUGGGAAUCUCCUGUGACCUUUUGUUUCCAGCCACCAAACCCGAGAAAAACAACCACCUACUACUGCGAGCAGUGCAACCCAAAGCGGGUGUCUCAUUUCUCGGAAGGUUCUGGGCAGGACCCUGUCUCAUUCACCAUUGUACCCCUGCAUCGACCACAGUGCCUGGCACCCAACCAAGAGGCCCAUGGUGAUCACACUCAACUUCAGAACUCAAGUGCCUUGCAAACAGCACCCUUUCCUUAGGGCCCCAGGCUUUCACUUCAUAGGGUUUUUUCCAGAAGCUUCUUUACCUUCUGUUGCAGAUAAAAAAAUAUUAAUAUGGACUUUUCAGUUUGGACCUCAGAGGGAGACGAUGAUGAUGACAAUAAAAAUAAUAAUAGAUUGUGGUGCCUAAAAUGUGCUGGGUGCCGUCACAAGUUUUCUG